GAUCAUGGCUCAGGAUGAACGCCGGCGGCGUGCUUAACACAUGCAAGUCGAGCGAAGCACUUAGGAAAGAUUCUUCGGAUGAUUUCCUAUUUGACUGAGCGGCGGACGGGUGAGUAACGCGUGGGUAACCUGCCUCAUACAGGGGGAUAACAGUUAGAAAUGACUGCUAAUACCGCAUAAGACCACAGCACCGCAUGGUGCAGGGGCAAAAACUCCGGUGGUAUGAGAUGGACCCGCG
rnacentral:rRNA from 1 species